UGAUGGUAAUGAGGAUAAUUUCUGAGCAUGCCUUUAAAUCUCUUCAAGGCUUGGUAGAGAUUUUCUUCAUCUUUUUGUCUGAAACUUAAGAUCUCACUCCUCAAUCG
rnacentral:snoRNA from 1 species